rnacentral:lncRNA from 1 species
AAAAUUUAAUUUGCUCGAGUUCAUAUCGUGAAAUCUUAUGAAAAUCUUUUUUCAUUAUUUAUAUUGCCAUGACCACGAUCUUAAGAACUCAGCUUUAUAAAUCAUAUAGGAUUACUUCUUAACUACUAAGAUCGAUAGAUCUCAUCUAACUACGUACACUACUCCUACAAUAAAUCUAUUGCAGUCAAUAUAGACCACA